AGGAAUGGUGUUGAGAGUUAGUGCGAUCGUCGAAAGCACAAUAAAGAGUAUUGAUAUCACAGCUAUCACCUGGAAAAGCGACGGGUCAACCGGUCAAACGGAGCUAGCCAGACGCGAGCUACCUGGUCUACGUGUACGUUUAAGGGGAGCUCCCUCUCUUUAACGUCUUUUCUUUCAUUCUCUGUCCGUCUUUAUCGGGCUCUACCGGGGGUAUUCUCCUAAAUCUAUAGCCGUGCUAUCAUCGCGUCUACGUUGGAACGGGAACGUAACGAGUCACUUGUCUACAUUCUAUUCUCUAGAAUCAAAACGAGCGAGCUAAUGUCGCGACAUAUUAAUCCUGUUAAUACGUGAAAGAAGUAAUUCGAGCACAGUUUGUCCUCGACAAUCGACAUUGUCGAUGCGAGUUAUAGACUUCUCGGAAAAGACCACGCAAGCUUAUAGUUGAAGAAGAAAGCGGCCGCAAAAUGAGGAGUACUCACUUCUUAAGGCGCUACAGUUAUAUAGUUAUGCGUACGUAAACUAUAAAUAUGGUAAAAAUAGUCAUUGCUCUGAAUGUUUCACAAGCGAUACAAUCAUUACAGCGGAAAAAGUCGAAAGCUUCCACUCUGCGGAAGCGGAAUGAUAAAAUAUGAAGCUGGCAAAGAUACGAACGGUUAAAACGUUUUUAGCGACGGAAUGAAAGCAGAUAUAAAUGUAUUUGAUGAUGUAUAUAUAAAUAUAAUUCUCUCUCUUGGCGCAGAUAUUGCGUAUAUAUAUGUUGCCAUAUUUACAGUAAAGCAAGCGAUAAAACUGGCGAUACGCAAAAAGCAAAUCUCGAAAAUCUCGAAAAUCGAAAAUGCAUUUUCGUUGCCUCGUCGAAUACAAUGUACAUAUAUAUACAACAUUUUACUUUACAUGACCAGGUAUGUAAAAUGUGUUUCACACAUUUUGACGGAUUAAUAAUUCACGUGUCACUUGAACGUUCCGUCUGCAUCAUGAUUUUACUUUACGUGAAAAUAUCACAAAAUGUUAAUGGCCAAAGUCACGAGGAUAAUUUCCGAAAUUCAGCGAAUUCAAAGGAUAACACUGCUGAUCAAUUAACACCCAAUAACGCUAAUGAAAUAGUGUUUACCAAGCACUAAUUAGUCUCAAAUACGAGCUCGCGCUUUCCCGCGCGUUUGCUGCGUGACCAAGUGAAACACGACGAACGGGCGCGCUUAAUUGAGCUUGAAGGAUACUCGCGAUACAAGGCUGCUCGUGAAAUUAACAGAAAGAGAGAGAGAAAGAGAGGAGGGACCAUCGAAGAAGCGAGCACAGCUCGGAGAGAUCAAGCGAAAUCACCAUAGACGCCACAUACACCAUAAAAGGCGGAGGAUAACGCCGAUUAACGAACAACGAAGGCUUCUUGCAAAGGAAAGAAAAAAAGAAACAGGAAAAGUGGAAAAAUCAAUUAUUGAACAACCCAGCAAACGGAGAAUCGAUCGCCGAUUCUCGCGGAAACCCAGCGUGACCAGCAACGCGAACCACGUCAUCACCAGGGAGUGCCUCGUCGUUUUAAACGCAGUCUGCCCGACGUCGCUCGACUCACACAAGUUUCAUUGCAUUAUUUCGGCCAGCGUAUACAUAUAAAAAGUAUCUGUAUGUCCCUUCAAAACCCCGCUCCCUUGCCCGACCCGACGCUCCCCCGUGUAUGGUGCACCCCUUUCGCACCCCGCGGAGUCACCAGCCCGCGUAUACACCCUUUUCCAUCCCACCCGCCCAUCCCCCCAACCCUUACUAACACUCUACUCUCACGCCAGUGCAAUCGCUACAAUGCGAAAUCAAUUCGUCGCUUUGGAGGGCUCAGCGAAAUCAUGAGGUUACUCAACAAAGUAAAGUAAGUAGGGAGGGAGCUUGCUUCGCAUUAAUUAAGUCGCAAGUAAAUAGGGGAAGCAGGCACAUCCGGGAGCAAAACCGAGGAAACGGUAAAUUUCCGUGGUUGCUCAUGUGACUCCAUAUUCGUCUCUCUUAAAGAGGUGAUGCGAUGAAUAUAUUAACGGGAGAAAAAUAAAAAUACGUUAAUAGAAUUUUAAUUUAAAAUUUAAAGUUGAUUUUCUACGAUCUGCCGCCAUUUAUAGUAUCUUAUAUUUUCCAAAAAAUUUGAAAAGGUCGUGUAUGCACAUGGAAGUAAUAAACUUGACGUUAAAGUCUCCUUAAAUCUUUAUUCUCUCUUCAAGAGAAGUAAAUUUAGAGUCAUGCCUACAGAAACAUCUCGUAAAAGUGUCGCGCGCGAUUAAUCUUUCAUGGAGAUACAUUUAUACUGUUCAUCAAGAGCGAUCGGAAAAUGCAAAAAGUGCCAUUUUUGUCAUCCAAAGAUCGUUGUUCAAUUCAUCAGGUUUGUCCCGGAUGUACCACUUUAUAUAAGCAAAAUCGAGAAAAGCAGCAAAGGGGAAAAUCACGUUUUAAUCCACUGCGGUCCAAAAUCGAUACCAAUAAUUGCAUCAAUAUUAAAUACUUCGUUUCAAUUUCAGACAGCGUCGCCGACAACAACUUUUAUUAUUGGCGAGUCUCAUAAAAUUUUUGAAAAGGCAGUGCCGUGUCAUUUACAUCUGAAAGAAAUGGAAGUCAUCGCAAUAACGACUGCAUUGCGACCGCAAGAGGAUUAAUGCGCGAGCAGGCGCGGUGCCCACCCUCGAGGGAUCUCGAGGGACGAUCAUCGCGCCGGUACCAAUAAAAAUCAAUGCUGCUUCGAAGUAACGUUAUUGUACAACAAAGUGCGUGUUACGUGUGCGUGUACGUGAUGUUAAGGGUGGCGAGAGGAUCGCGUUAAGCAAGCCCGUGCAUCGUAAUGCUUUCUGUGCGGGACGGGAGAUCCGGUUGGUGGUACCGUCGUGCGGUGAAGCGGAUUCGUGCGUUUGUCGCUUCGCGUUAUGACUCGCGAUGCUGUCGCGUUAGCUGCGGACAAAAGAAGAAGCCGGAUAGGAGAGACUGAAAAGAAGGAAGCCGAGAACGUGGUACAAAACUGUAAUUUUGUAGACGUAUCGUUUGAUGGGCUAGUGCGCGCGAUAGUGCAGCGGCCAGGAGGUACAAGCUUGCGACAAUAUGCACGUGGCUGCAGUCGCUGCUCAGACGAAUAUACCGUUCAGCCGUGUGACGAAUGGUUUUUCCUCGCAACUGCGACCUAUUAUUACACUUUUUACGCAAAAAUCAGAGAAUUUACGCAAAGCCGAGAAAUAUUAUUGCAGCAAGACGUCAUUGCUCGACAUCGGAGAUGCGUUGGAUAAUAUUAACUCUGUAAAAUAAUUUUGUCAAAGUAGCGGGAAAUAUUUAGACGGAAAACGAUGAUAUAGCUAGUAGUAAUAAUGUAGUAGUAAUAAUAAUGAUAAAUUGCUCGGUAAUGUUCUAUGUAUUCUGCGCGAACGAAACUUGUUAUUUUGUAGAAAUGAAUCCGUAACCAGUUGAUGCGUUAAAGCGCAAGGAGCUUCGGCUUGGUUAGCCACAAGCAAAAUUGAACAAAACUACAAACAAAAUUGUUAGAUUCCCAUAAUUUAUUUUAGCAAGGUUUGAUGUUAACUGACACGGAUCCCUCUCUCUCGGUGUAAUACCAAGUCUGUGCGAAUAACCGAGCUAGCGAGCGAGAACAAUUCUGCGUCGGGAAGAAGUCAACAAUUUAAUUUCACUAUUUAUACGUAGUAGAAACUCCUUGAAACAUUUUCUAACGCCCGCCAAGUCGAGGUAUUUCGCAAAGCGACUAAUAUAACCGGCAUGUUAUUAUAGUACAAAAAGCUCUACGUAUGUAUUAAUAUACUGCGUAUUAGUAUACAACAAAAGCUGCAGCCGUAUUAGUUAAUAUUCACGCGAGUUUACAUACGUGCGUCUCACCUAUCUUAAGGCGAACGUUUGCGAUGCAUAAAAUGGAGAUAACAACCGUCGCAAUCGUAAAAGCAAGAUACGGUAAUAAUAGAAUACUCCAGUGGCGCGCAGUUACGAUAAGCGUUUUAUUAUCACCCCGCAAAAAAGAAAGUAACAGACCGUGAUGUUUUUCCGCAUUAUCAUUUUGGUGUCAUCGCACUAUUGACGAUACCGUUCCCCGCGUUACCGAUAUCACUGUAAUAACUCGCUGGAAAAUCGAAGAGAGACGAAGAAAACGUAUCCGUACGUAUCAUGAAGAUGCAAAGCGCUUCGUCUUACCGCUUACUCAAACCGCAAAAUUGAUCGUUCUACUUCUAGGUAUCUACGUAUUUCUACCCGCGACAGUAGGCUACUCCGUCGCGAUCGCAUUUGCCCGUCUUCGAUCCGAUCUGACCUCUGAAUCGACCCGACGGCGGUACUCGCACAAACCUACAUGGCACUACAUACGUGUCCUCCGCGGUAAUUUUUCCGAGGGUGAUCCGCGGAUCUUGCGUCGGAGCUGAAGGGUAUACUCGCCGUAUAUGGCAGCUGUAUAGUUAUGGCCCCACAUGUGCUCUAAAUAUACUCCGCAGAUCGAUACGGUUUCAGUUUCAUAAAAUAUUGACGGGCCCGUUAAGGGGAACACGUCCCGGUGUGACAAAAGCAAUGAGAAAAAACGGUCGCACGAGAGGGUAAAGAGAGAAAGACGAGACGGUGUCCCGGGGCGGGAUGGGACCAGUGCGAUGUGUAAUAUAUUAUGAUAUAAUAAAUAUCCGAUGCCAGCUCUCUCGGAAGCGUUAAGACGCGCCGUGCCGCUGUGCCGUGGUCACACGGACGUGCAGCGAGAGAGGGUUGAAAGACAAGGGCGACAGAGACUGGUUCGGGAGCGACUUCGAGAGGUAGGUGUCGGACACCGACAUCGUUUGAUCCGGGCGACUCAGGGGGGAUGAUCUCGAGGGAGGAUGGGACACUGAGACCGGUUGUAGGGGAUUAGGUGGUCGGUCGGAUGGUCGAUCGGAGUCGUAGUUGGGGAUCGCCGGUGCGGUCGUUAAGGGAGGAGUCCAGGGAGGAGCGAGUGCCACCCCGCACAAAUCAUCAUCUCAUCUCGGGCAACAGUGUGUGCAAUGUGUAUUGUUUGUGGUGUGUCAAGUAUACAUCGAGGAUUCAGACAACGACUACGUUCGUGAGAGAUAGGUAAGCUCGCGUGGCUGUCGCCGUAACAGAAUCUUAAUUCGAGGAUUAUCCGGAACGAUGCUCAAGCUUGAAUACAAGCUUAGACGUUACCGUUGCAAGCUCGAUAAAAUUUUCGUUAAGGAAUAAUGCCCGAGUGCACAUCGGUCAAAGAACACGUGGAUGAAAGGAUCGGGCGGUUAGCAGCUCCGAAACGCCCUGUACGAUCAUCAGCCACGAAAGGGUUGGCAUGAUGAGUUGCGUAGGAUGGAGCUAUUUCCAUUUGAAGAGGACCACUCGGUGUGUAAGUGGCACGCUGCUGGUAUACACGUAAGCAUGUAAACCGGGGAAGAUAAGCGAAACGUAAUAUUUAUGCGUCGCGGUAGAAGCUCGGGUCGCGUUCGGAGAGCGAGCAAAAUCGAGGAAGAAAAAUUGAGAGAGAAAAGACGAAGACAUCCUCCGAACGCGUAUUGAUCAUUCUUACACAACGGCGUUGUGUACCGAGAGCGCGUGCUUUUAACGCAGUGAACGUUAUAAGCAAUUGCUUAAUACCGCAGUUUACCAUCCCGAGUGCUGCCAUAAUAAUCUGAUACCGAAGCAUUUCAUGUCCACGAAUGUCGCGUGCAUGCCGCCAGCUUAACGUGGAGGAAUCUUAACAUUUUAAGCCGACCGCGCUUGUAACUGUGGCAUUUAAUCCUAGAAUGGCGGAUUUUAAUCAGAGGCAAAUCCCUUUCUCUGUAAUUACAAUAAUAAUUAUUAUUAUUCUCCGUUCGCGUGUAACACAUCAAUAGAGAUGUUCUCAGCGAGAGAUUUUAAAGCUUGCGAUCUCUUCAGCGGGAAAAAAAGGAUGAAAUUUAUGACGAUCACGCAUUGCAACACACACAUAUAGAAGGCUCAGUUUCUGCGCAUUUCUUCAGGGACAAAUAGCACCCGAAGAAAUGAUCGAUAUAACUCACCACAUGGCCCCCGCAAACUCGUAACUUUAUUAAAAGCGUUACACCCGUCGUAUCUGUAAACGCUCCUCUCUGCGCUAGUUACUUUAGGCCCACCUACAAACUGUGUGUACCAAAUCAACUACUACUACUGGGCGCCGUGUAACUGUAAAAUCAUUUAAAAUUGAUGUCAAAUCGAUCGACGAUCUUCCACACAUACUCCAGUGUUUUUAACGUAUAUAAUGUAUAUAACGUAUAACUCAUUUUUGCUCAAUUCCUGCCAGGCUCGAUGAAAGAUGAUACAAGAUAAUGAAUUGUAAACUAAUCUCACGGACAUCCAUAAAGAAGAAAUAAUAACAUUGCAAGAUGCGAAGAACGGUUUAGAGAAUACUGUUAUUAAGUAAAAUUAUAGUUUUAUAUAAAACUGUAUGUAAUAAACUGCACGUAUACAUGUA